GUGGGGAAUUUUGGACAAUGGGGGCAACCCUGAUCCAGCCAUGCCGCGUGCGGGAAGAAGGCCUUCGGGUUGUAAACCGCUUUUGUCAGGGAAGAAAUCCUUUGGGUUAAUACCUCGGAGGGAUGACGGUACCUGAAGAACAAGCACCGGCUAACUACGUGCCAGCAGCCGCGGUAAUACGUAGGGUGCGAGCGUAAAUCAGAAUUACUGGACGUAAAGCGUGCGCAGGCGGUUUUGUAAGAUCGAUGUGAAAUCCCCGGGCUCAACCUGGGAACUGCAUUGGUGACUGCAAGGCUGGAGUGCGGCAGAGGGGGAUGGAAUUCCGCGUGUAGCAGUGAAAUGCGUAGAUAUGCGGAGGAACACCGAUGGCGAAGGCAAUCCCCUGGGCCUGCACUGACGCUCAUGCACGAAAGCGUGGGGAGCAAACAGGAUUAGAAACCCCUGUAGUCC
rnacentral:rRNA from 1 species